UUGCAGUUUUACAUAAUACACCAACACUUUUACCUGUUCCCAUGCAAGUGGUGGCAGAAGCAUAUGCAGACAGUGAAGAACCCUCUCAGAAGACUGUCCUUUGGAGGAAGAACCUGUAAGUGCAUAAAUACCUUUACACUAAUUUGUAUAUAGCCUACUUGUGUACCUAUUCUUUCUGUCUGCAAUUUGAGUUGCAGGAGUCCACACCUAGAGAAAGGCCUACAGAAAGGCUUGCAGAAGAGUCUGCACAAAGAACUAAUACAGAGGGUGACAUCCGUUCCCUCUAUAAACGGCAUCUUCAACAAAAAAUUGAGUAUUUUGAGCUGAAAAAACGCAAAUUAAGAGGAGAAAUUGAACUUGACAACUUGAAAAAGAGAAAAAUUGCUCUAGAGAUAGAGUUGCUUCAAAAGGACCUUCAGAGCAAAAGAUGACUUGCUGGCUUUUCUUUAUAAAGAAUUGUUUAAAUAAAACUCUGGG
ensembl:lncRNA